rnacentral:ncRNA from 1 species
AAUAAACCGAUAAGGAAGAGUAGUAACUUCUUAUGAACAUCAAAGAGAGCGACUUAAUUGGUGAAAGAGUUGUAUGUGAUUAUUAAGUGAAUGGACUUCUGAGGGCGGGAAGAAAUAAAUUUUUUAAUUUAGAGUAAUGCCCGACGGGACUUAGCCGUUAAAAUAAGACCAAUAUGUUAGUAUUGAUGAGAGGGUGCUUUAUGCAAAAUUGGGUGGUACCGCAGAAGUUUAGACUUUUGUCCCAUUA